AUUUCCAACAUGCAGAUGGGGAAAAUGAGUUUUAGAGAAGCUGGCUGGCCUGCCCCAGCUCACACAGCUGGAGACAGAUGAAGCUGAACUUGACCCCAGCUAGCCUUCUCCAACCCCCACUGCUAUCAGUCAUCAGGUUAUGCUGCCUCACCUCUCCCUGUUCCCCCUAAGGACUGUCCCCUAACGCUCGCCAGGGGCGCCGCACCAUUCCAGGCUUUUCAGCCCUGAAUGCAGGCUUCUCAGAUGCUGGGUAGGUGGCCGACUGAUGGGAGCCCCAGCGUCAAGGGAGAUGGGAUAAGGUGAGCGGGGACGGUGUUAGAUGAAGACUUGGACCAAAUGACAGAGCAGGGAGACAGGACAUUAGUUGCGGGGGGGGGGGGGGGGUGUCAAUUCAAAAGAGCGGGGCUGGCCUGGCAGCGCAGAGAUGGAGGUUGGGAGGGGGAAGGGACCAGCACGGCAAUGCAGGCUUUCAGAAGAAUGACUCCCACACACUAACGUACUUGGGCAAAGCUCUCCCGCCAGUGACAUAGGGAGCACUGGGCCAAGGUGGUGGGUAGAGACACGGGACAGGGGAGCAGUGGCACCGGGACGGCCAUGCAGUGGAAGGGAGCCUUAGGCUCAGCAGGCAGGGAGCUCCCAGGAGGUCCAUGGGGCGCCCUGUCGCCACCCACAUGCAGUGAACACCACCAGCUUCCUUGAGAAGUAUUCAACUCACAUUCUAUGGUAGCGAAAAGCGCGCAAUCAAUAUAGCCACCAUCCGUUUCCCAAGGGAACGCCUUUUGGAAACUACCACGUGAGUCUGUGAGCCUCGGGCAAACGCUUCCCGUUGUGCGUUUGCGCGCUCCCAACGCCAGAAGGCGCCUCCCCCGAGGUCCUCGGGGCUCUAUGUUGCCAUUGCGAACAUUUCCCAGCAGAUGGCGGUCUUGGAGAAGCAGUGCCUUUCCCUAAGGCUCUCUUCAGUUCAUCCUCACCCAGAUUCAAGGCUGACCCGGGAUACCAGCUCUUAGCAGAGCAGCAGUUUCCCCACGGGCAGCCCAGCAUGUGAACUGCCCGCUGGGAGCACCCUGUGGUCAGAGGCCCUGUCUUCACCCCUCGACGCCCUGGGGGCCCAUUCGCCUCUUCUGCUCCUCACUCAUGGCUCUCACCAAUAAACAACCUGCAAGUCCCUGCGCCAUAGUCCAUUGAUCAUGGACUUUUCCCUCUCUGUUCUCUUCCAUUCUCCCUGAGUUAUCGUCCACAGUUCAUAGGGUCAAUCCUACUUACCUCUACAGUCAGAAAAACCCAUUUAAAAAAUGUCCAUCUGCCUGAAGUACAAUACAUUCUCCAGCUGGCAAAAGGGGUUCUUUAUUCUCCAAAGUGUGGGAGUCCCUGGGGGUUGAGAAAUGAGACUCCUAGGAGAUUCAACUCUCCUUUGAAAUAACUGUGCAAACCACACAUCAUAUACGUGAAAAAGACUUCAAAUAAAGGCUUGGGGAAAAUUUUUAAUUCAAGAGGGAAUUUGCAUAAAGAACUUAGUCUCCUAUUACUAAUGGGAAAAAAAAGUAAGUUGUAGAAAAAAUACGAAUGGGAUUUUAUUAGAGGAAUUUGAGUAACAAAAACAUAUAUAUUUCCCUGUGCACUGACAGUCAUGAUUGUGCACAGAAAAUUUCUAGAAGGAUCCAUAAGAAUGUGUUUAGAGUGGUCAUUUCUAGAGUGGAAAUGGGGGCUCUGGGGUCUUUUGAUUUCUAUUUCCAACCUCCUGUACUGAUUCAUCUCAUUUUUAAUCAUGAGACUGUAUUGUCUUGUAAAAAAUUAAAACUGGAAACAAGUGAAUCUCAAACAGCACUGCAGAUGUGGGUGGUGGAUGCCGCCUCCUGCGGGUCCCACUGUGCCCAGGUGUGACCUAUAGAGCUUUUGUGCGUUGUCUCUUUUAAUCUGCACAACAGCCCGAUGAAGUAGGCUUCAUUAGUAUCCAUGUUUUCCAGAUAAUGAAACUGAGACCUGGAAAUGUUGAGUAACUUCCAAGUUACAGAGCUGGGAAGUGGCAGAGCAGAGACUCAAACGCACAUCUGCCUGAUACUCAAGUCCACAUUCUCAAUAAACUACAAAAAUGACUCACG
rnacentral:lncRNA from 10 species